rnacentral:rRNA from 1 species
AUGAGUUGUAUCAGUUGGAACUGCCGGGGGCUUGGGAACCCCGAGGCAGUUCGAGAGCUUCGCAGCAUCGUGAAGCUAGAAGGUCCCUCUCUUGUCUUUGUUAUGGAAACGAAGAUAAGAGGUAAAAGAGUGGAGGAUCUGCAGCAUACUCUAGGUCUUGGAGGAUGCUUUGCGGUUGAUAGUGUUGGUUUAAGUGGUGGAGUUGGCCUUUUUUGGUCAAAAGAUGUAAAAGUUGAACUGAGGAAUUAUAGCACCUCUCACAUAGAUGUUUUGGUGUAG